rnacentral:rRNA from 1 species
UACGUAGGGUGCGAGCGUUUGUCCGGAAUUAUUGGGCGUAAAGGGCUCGUAGGCGGUUUGUCGCGUCGGGAGUGAAAACACCGGGCUUAACUCGGUACUUGCUUUCGAUACGGGCAGACUAGAGGCAUGCAGGGGAGAACGGAAUUCCUGGUGUAGCGGUGAAAUGACGCAGAUAUCAGGAGGAACACCGGUGGCGAAGGCGGUUCUCUGGGCAUGUCCUGACGCUGAGGAGCGAAAGUGUGGGGAGGCGAACAGG